AUGCAGGGUAUGGCCUUGGCCCUGCAGCACUCAUCCUUGCCAGUUGUGGUUCAGUCAGACUCAUCUACGGCACUAGCUGCAAUGACCGGGGACAGCUUGUCCAGGUCUGUUUAUGGGCAUUUGGUACUAGAGAUCAAGCGUUAUCUUCAGGAUCGAGAGUUUGUUCCAUCAAAAAUAAAGGGUGAGCAAAAUAGGGUAGCACAUCAGUUGGCAUUGUAUAGUCGUACGAAGUCCAUCUUGUACUGA
rnacentral:rRNA from 1 species